AUGGGGGUAACCCUGGUGGCGAGUGGCGAACGGGUGAGUAAUAUAUCGGAACAUGUCCGGAAGUGGGGGAUAACGUAGCGAAAGUUACGCUAAUACCGCAUAUGCCCUGAGGGGGAAAGGGGGGGAUUGUAAGACCUCUCGCUUUCGGAGUGGCCGAUAUCGGAUUAGCUAGUUGGUGAGGUAAAGGCUCACCAAGGCGAUGAUCCGUAGCUGGUCUGAGAGGACGACCAGCCACACUGGGACUGAGAUAUGGCCCAGACUCCUACGGGAGGCAGCAGUGGGGAAUUUUGGACAAUGGGGGUAACCCUGAUCCAGCCAUGCCGCGUGAGUGAAGAAGGCCUUCGGGUUGUAAAGCUCUUUCAGACGGAAAGAAAUGGUCACGGUGAAUACCCGUGACUAAUGACGGUACCGUAAGAAGAAGCACCGGUUAACUACGUGCCAGCAGUUGCGGUAAUACGUAGGGUGCGAGCGUUAAUCGGAAUUACUGGGCGUAAAGCGUGCGCAGGCGGUUUGGUAAGACAGACGUGAAAUCCCCGGGUUUAACCUGGGAACUGCGUUUGUGACUGUCAGACUAGAGUGUAGCAGAGGGGGAAGAAUUCCACGUGUAGCAGUGAAAUGCGUAGAUAUGUGGAGGAAUAUCGAUGGUGAAGGUAGCCCCCUGGGCUAACACUGACGCUCAUGCACGAAAGCGUGGGGAGUAAAUAGGAUUAGAUACCCUGGUAGUCCACGCCUUAAACGAUGUCAACUAGGUGUUGGGGAAGGAGACUUUUUUAGUACCGCAGCUAACGCGUGAAGUUGACCGCCUGGGGAGUACGGUCGCAAGAUUAAAACUCAAAGGAAUUGACAGGGACCCGCACAAGCGGUGGAUUAUGUGGAUUAAUUCGAUGCAAUGCGAAAAACCUUACCUACCCUUGAUAUGUCAGGAAGAUUCCAGAGAUGGGAUUGUGCCCGAAAGGGAACCUGAACACAGGUGCUGCAUGGCUGUCGUCAGCUCGUGUUGUGAGAUGUUGGGUUAAGGCCCGCAACGAGCGCAACCCUUGCCAAUAAUUGCCAUCAUUUAGUUGGGCACUUUAUUGGGACUGCCGGUGAUAAACCGGAGGAAGGUGGGGAUGACGUCAAGUCCUCAUGGCCCUUAUGGGUAGGGUUUCACACGUAAUACAAUGGUCGGUACAGAGGGUUGCCAACCCGUGAGGGGGAGCUAAUCCCAGAAAGCCGAUCGUAGUCCGGAUUGUUCUCUGUAAUUUGAGAGCAUGAAGUCGGAAUCGCUAGUAAUCGCGGAUUAGUAUGUCGCGGUGAAUACGUUCCCGGGUCUUGUAUAUACCGCCCGUCACACCAUGGGAGUGGAAUCUGCCAGAAGUAGGUAGCCUAACCGUAAGGGGGGCGCUUACCACGGUGGGUUUCAUGACUGGGGUGAAGUUGAAAUAAGGUA
rnacentral:rRNA from 1 species